rnacentral:rRNA from 1 species
UACGUAGGGUGCGAGCGUUAAUCGGAAUUACUGGGCGUAAAGUGUGCGCAGGCGGCCGAGCAAGUCGAGUGUGAAAGCCCCGGGCUCAACCUGGGAAUGGCAAUGGAAACUGGCGGGCUAGAGUGUGGCAGAGGGGGGUGGAAUUCCGCGUGUAGCAGUGAAAUGCGUAGAGAUGCGGAGGAACACCGAUGGCGAAGGCAGCCCCCUGGGCUAGCACUGACGCUCAGGCACGAAAGCGUGGGGAGCAAACAGG